rnacentral:tRNA from 2 species
AAGGAAGGACAGAAAUCAGUAAGAACUGCUAAUUCUUAUGCACCGCGGUUAAACUCCGCGGCUUCCUUA